rnacentral:rRNA from 1 species
UACGAAGGGGGCUAGCGUUGCUCGGAAUCACUGGGCGUAAAGGGUGCGUAGGCGGGUCUUUAAGUCAGGGGUGAAAUCCUGGAGCUCAACUCCAGAACUGCUUUUGAUACUGAAGAUCUUGAGUUCGGGAGAGGUGAGUGGAACUGCGAGUGUAGAGGUGAAAUUCGUAGAUAUUCGCAAGAACACCAGUGGCGAAGGCGGCUCACUGGCCCGAUACUGACGCUGAGGCACGAAAGCCAGGGGAGCAAACGGG